UAGCAACUGAAAGGAGGUGAUCCUAUGUCUCAUUGUCUGCGCCUUAGUGAAAUGUCUGUCAGGAUCCCUUCGGAGGUGAAGGCUUAACGAGUAGAAGCCUUUCUUCGAAUUGAGACUGGGCCGUUUCGCCGGUCUGGCAAUGGAAAGGUCGCUGGGCAACCAGCGACCUU
rnacentral:sRNA from 1 species